UGAGGAACAGAGUUGCCACUGGGUGACCUGUGGUGUGAGUCUAGGGAGAGACCUGGCUGGGCUCCUCAUCCCAGAGCAACAGAGCCCCAGCCCUUGGGGACCCUAAAGAUCAAGAAGCGUAAAUGCCCUGGGAGAGCCACCCUCCCUCCCCAUCAGGACCCCGAGGACGCAGGCAAACAAGAAAAAAAUGAUCUUACAUAAAAGUCACCGUGACCCGACUCCAGGUGGCCUGAGGGAGAACUGUGACUGCCCACGAGAUGAGCCCUGAUGCAGAGGGAGCUAUGGACAGUCAGGAAUGAAAGGGUCCCGCGCCCUCAGCGGAACCUCCGCCGGCAUCUGAGCCUCCCGGCCUCCGCUCCCACCUCCAUAGAAUCACACAAGGUGUAUCCUGAUUUGGACAUGAGAAAACCGGCAUGGAGAGAGUGAGGGACCCCCAAGGAGUUAACAGUAAAGGUGAUUAAUGUCAUUAGUCAUUAGGAAAAUGCAAACAAAACCCACAAUGAGAUACCAUUUCACACCCACUAGGACAGCUAUAAAAAGGAAAAUGACAAGUGUUGGCAAGGAGGUGGAGAAAUUGGAACCCUCAUACACUGCUGGUAAGAAUGUAUAAUGUGGCAGCUGCUGUGGAAAACAGUUUGGCUGCUCCUCAGGAAGUUAAACAUAGAAUUACCAUAUGACCCAACAAUUCCACUCCUAGUAAGGACCAAAAAAAAUUGAGAACAGGUGUUCAGACAAAAACUUGGACACGAAUAGUCAUAGCAGCCCUAUUCACAAUAGCUGAAAGGUAGGAACAACCUAAGUGUCCAUCAGCUGAUAACUAGAUAAACAAAAUGUGGUCUAUCCAUGCAGUGGAAUAUUAUUGAGCCAUAAAAAGGAAUGACGUUCUGAUUCCUGCUACAACGUGGAUGAACCUUGAAAACAUCAUGCUGAGUCACCUGCUAAGCCAGUCACAAAAGGCCACGUAUUGGGGUCUUCCCUGGUGGCUCAGUGGUUAAGAAUCCACCGGCCAAUGCAGGGGACAUGGGUUCAAGCCCUGGUCCGGGAAGAUCCCACAUGCCAUGGAGCAACUAAGCCCAUGCACCACAACUACUGAGCCUGUGCUCUAGAGCCCGUGAGCCGCAACUACUGAGCCCAUGUGCUACAACUACUGAAGCCUGUGCGCCUAGAGCCCAUGCUCCGCAACAAGAGAAGCCACAGCAAUGAGAAGCCCAUGCACCACAAUGAAGACCCAAUGCAGCCAAAAAUAAAUAGGUAAAAUAAAUAAUUUUUUUUAAAAAAAAGGCCAUAUAUGGGCUUCCCUGGUGGCGCAGUGGUUGAGAGUCCGCCUGCCGAUGCAGGGGACACGGGUUCGUGCCCCGGUCCGGGAAGAUCCCACAUGCUGCGGAGCGGCUGGGCCCGUGAGCCAUGGCCGCUGAGCCUGCGCGUCCGGAGCCUGUGCUCCGCAACGGGAGAGGCUACAACAGUGAGAGGCCCGCGUACGGCAAAAAAAAAAAAAAAAAGGCCACAUACUGUGUGAUUCUGUUUAUAUGAAAUGUCCAGAAUAGGCAAAUUCAUAGAGACAGAAAGCAGAUCAGUGGUUGCCAGGGGCUGGGGGAAGAGCAAUAGGGGGUGACCAUCCAAUGGGUGCAGAACUAGAUAGUGCGGAGGGUUGCACAACCCUGGCACGUACUAAAUGCUACUGAAUUCAGUACACUUCAGUGAAUCAAGCUGUACACUUUUAGGUAGUUAAAAUGGUAAAUUUUAUGUUAUAUGCAUUUUGCCACAGUUUUUUUAAGUUAAAAAAGAAGUGACUGAAAGAGCCUGGACCAGACCAGUUCUUGUCCCUUCCCUUCACAGGCCUGGGAGCGGCCAACACACUCAGCCGUGGUGUUUCAGUAUGGACAGAACAAAUAAAAAACAAGUCUGCUGGACACUGUGCUGACACAGAUAUGGGACCCAAGUGUUUUUGGUUUUUUGUUUUUUGUUUGUUUGGCCACGCCGCGCGGCAUGCGGGAUCUUAGUUCCCCGACCACAGAUCAAACCCAUGCCCCCUGGCAGUGGAAGCGCGGAGUCCUAACCACUGGACCACCAAGGAAUUCCCCUCAAGUGGUUUUUAAACAUUUCUGGGCCUUGGCCUGCUAGAGAAAUAACAGCUCCAGGCUUGAGUUCAGAUAGACGUGGACAUAAACGCUGGCUCCAGCACAGGCUGUGUGACCUUGGACACACCCUGUGUCCUUUCUGGGCUUCAGUUUUCUCAUCUAGAAAAUGGACAGAAGAAGAAGACACUCUCCAUGUUGUUAGGAGAAUUCAGUGAGUUGACACACGUGGGAAAGCCCAGGGGAUCGUGCCUGACACACAGUGAGGGCUCAGCAAUCCUGCCCCUUUCCUCCGUCUCCUGUCCCUACAUGUGCCCAUGACAUUUAUCCCAACCAGAUGUCACCUGGACAAACACGGUCCUGGAGGCCGUCCACAUACCCAGCACUUGUCCAGCUACCCCAAGGGACCCUGCCCAUGGGAUAUUUGCACUUUCAAAGAGAAAACUAGUUAAUCCACAGAAAGUCUAAGUGAUAUAGAGAAGUGGAGACUUUCUGGAUUCAUCCAACAAAUAUUUGGGUUGCGGGAAGCACUCCCCUUUCCCUCCAAUCACACCAAUUAGGUAGCUACCUGUUUUCACACCUCUAUCCUACACACACACACACACACACAAAUACACACACACUCACACAAGCUUACACACAUAUACACACACACAUACAUACCCCCAAAUCCCUAAGCCAAGAAUUCCUUUUUUUAAAAAAUUAACUUAUUUAUUUUUAUUUAUUUACUUUUGGCCGCGUUGGGUCUUCGCUGCUGCACGUGGGCUUUCUCUAGUUGCGGCAAGCGGGGGCUACUCUUCGUUGCGGUGCGCGGGCUUCUCAUUGCGGUGGCUUCUCUUGCGGAGCACGGGCUCUAGGCACACGGGCUUCAGUAGUUGUGGGGCGUGGGCUCAGUAGCUGUGGCUCGCGGGCUCUAAAGUGCAGGCUC